rnacentral:rRNA from 1 species
UACGGAGGGUGCGAGCGUUGUCCGGAUUUAUUGGGUUUAAAGGGUGCGUAGGCUGGAAGGUCAGUCAGCGGUGAAAAGCUAUCGCUUAACGAUAGUCUUGCCGCAGAUACUUCCUUUCUUGGAUGAGGAGGAGGCCACUGGAACGGAUGGUGUAGCGGUGAAAUGCAUAGAUAUCAUCCAGAACACCGAUUGCGAAGGCAGGUGGCUGUACCUUAAUCGACGCUGAUGCACGAAAGCAUGGGGAGCAAACAGG